rnacentral:lncRNA from 1 species
AUGGUGUUCCAGCUGCGGCGUAAAAACGCCCUGCACGGCAUCCUUCGUUUUGUGCAGAGGAGCGUCGCCCGCCUGGACUCUCAGCAAGGCCUCCACCCCGUCGCAGUCGAGAGCAAGGUGGUCAAAGUCACCAACCUGUCCAGAAGCUUCUCCAGCGAAUGGCACACGAAGGCCUCGCGCACCACGUCCCACUGCAACAUCUUCAAGCUGCCCAAGCCAGUGCACAGCCUGCCCUCCCUGGACUCCCUCACGUCCUCGCAGCUGGUCACCCUCCGCCCGUACGGCAGCGCCAAGGAGUCUAUCUUGUCAUGGAGAACCGAGAACAAUGGCAACGGCAGCCCACGAGCCAAGAGUGCUACCCAGGUGCCAGAGGAAAGUGCGUGCACGUCGGAGGAGGUGGUGAUCCGUGAAGACCUGCCGGAAAUAGUGGCUCACCUGGCCAGGAAGGAGCUGCUCAGCAAGUAGGGCGGAAGAAGGGGUUUGGGGGUGUGUGGAAAUGACGGCAUGCCUACGGGGGCUUUAUUUAAAAAAAAAAUACAUGGAACGACCCAUGCAAACCCCGAUAAAAACAAAAGGAAACCCAGAGAGCCUCAAUGCCAGGAGUGAGAAAUGAGAACGGCCCCAACCAGGGCGGAGACUCAACCGACAGGGGAUGUGGGGUAUCACAGGCCAUGUUGGGGGUCCCCACCAGCCAUCUGCCCCAACUGGCUGCUGCUGCUGCAUUAUUAUUUUUUAUUUUGGUCUCGUAGCCAUAUUAAACUGGACGGUACCCUUCGGAUCUCCAAGCCCCAAAGUCUUCCUUUUUGAAAGAGGGCGGCGGGGGGGGGGGAAGGGGAGGGGAAGAGGUUCUCCCCUCCCAGGGUGGGAGGACGGACUCCUCGACUUAGCACCAUUCGACCAGCGAACCAUUCCAAAUGACGGGGCCCAUGAACCUAUCCCCGUCGCGGUUGUGUUAUGGCGGCCCUGUGGGCUCGGUGGCAUUCGAACCAGACACCCGGGAACGGCUGCACGGCGAUCCCAUGGGCGCCUUGCUUACUGACCGCCUUAACGGUGGCGGUGCCUUAUGGUCCUUAAGUCGAGGACUACCCGAGCCAUUCCUUCCGGCAUUGCACGAAUCGUCACCUCAAGCCCACCUCCUUUGUGAGGGCAGCAGGAAGUGCAAAAAUGACGUUUUUUUUUUCUCGCGUUCCCCCCAAAAACAUUCCAACGGGGACUCCACACGAAAGUAGAAACACAACUUCCCGUUUCUCUGAAAACUCUAAUUCCGAGGGCACCAGAGAACGAAGGAUCACAGUUUGUGUGUGUGUGUGUGUGUGUGUGUGUUGCCUUAUCCUGGACCCUUUUGCUUUUGUAAGGCCCCCCACCCUCCCUGUUCACCGCAGUGUGGUGUUUGGAUUAUCCGGCCGCGGCCCUUUAAAGGACUCCUAACCCUCAUUCCUUGCCGUAAGGUUUGUCCAUGCACUGGCAGGCGAGCCCAGCCUCGGUUCACACAACUCGGCAUCCAAAAGACACACACACACACACACACAACUCAGCUGCUUUCACUGGCCAGUCUUAUAGGGGUGGGGUGGGGGUGUUCAAGAGGGCCCCCUGCCUUCUGUCUUGGGAAGGGGGCUCGCAAGUCCGUCGCAGCGACCCAGGGACUCCCUCCUGCCGCGAUUCUGUUGAAUGUGUUGCAGCAGCAUUGCGGUUGCCCGCUCCAAAACGGGCGGCAACACCUCCUGCUCCGCGUCGGUGAAGCGGCUGAGUUGAGGGAGGGCAUCAUUUGAUCAGCUGACCCCUUUCCCUUUUCUCAAUAGGGCCCUGCCCCA